UGCAGUUUCCACGCUGAUUUCUCUCUAUUGUAGUUUCAAUGUAGUCAUGAAUAAUGAAUAAUAUAAUAAUAUAAUAGUAAUAAUAUAAUAAUAUACUACAAUAAUAAUAGAAUAAUAAUAGAAUGAUAUAUAUAUAUACAGUAGAGUCUCACUUAUCCAACAUUCUGGAUUAUCCAACGCAUUUUUGUAGUCAAUGUUUUCAAUACAUCGUGAUAUUUUGGUGCUAAAUUCGUAAAUACAGUAAUUACUACAUAGCAUUACUGCUUAAUGAACUACUUUUUCUGCCAAAUUUGUUGUAUAACAUGAUGUAUUGGUGCUUAAUUUGUAAAUUCAUAACCUAAUUUGAUGUUUAAUAGGCUUUUCCUUAAUGCCUCCUUAUUAUCCAACAUAUUCGCUUAUCCAACAUUCUGCCGGCCUGUUUAUGUUGGAUAAAUGAGACUCUACUGUAUGUGUGUGUGUGUGUGUGUGUGUAUAUAUAUAUAUAUAAAUGUAACAUGCAUAAUUCCCAUGGAGUAAACAACAAAACCACUGGACCAAAUCACAUCAAAUUUGGCCACAAAAGACAUUAGUCAUCCAAUCAAUCUGCAUGCGGCAGCGUGUCAGCAAAAAUGGCUAGGCGUGUCAGUGCUGACACGCGUGUCAUAGGUUGGCCAUCACUGAUCUAGAUGUUUGUUAUUUUUCCUUUCUUAUUUUUCCUUAGAAACCAGUCUAGAGUAGACUCGACAGCUCCCAAACCUUUCUAUCUACAAUGGAAUUCUUUUUACCUGAAUAAAUGCUUUUUGAACUUUUACUGAGACUCUGCAAUCGAUUGCCAUCCUAACUGAAAAAGGCUUCUCUUUGUGUGUAAGCAUCUGCUGUGUUUGAAAGUCUACUUUUGCUACUCUGCUACAUUUUUGGUGGAAUCUCCCCCAGAGAGGGUUAAAUUGAGUCUAACCGCUCAGAGAUUACCACAACAUCCAAAACCCAGCAAAAUCCAAUGUGGUCUCCAGCAUCGUAGUCCAAUGCCCAAACCAUAUGCCAAACAUUUAGUUUUUGAUGGUUUGAUGGCAACUUCCCAUCCAACAUUGAUGGGAUCUCCCAGUCAGCAUGGUCAUUCUUGAAGCUAUGGUCUGAUAAAAGAAAGUUUCCCCAUGUUUGUAUGUUUCAUGUCCUCAGCUCCAGUUUUCUUAGCGUCAGACAGCCUUGGAUUUAUGAGACUCCCCGGGGCCUAAUGGGUUUUUCAGAUGCCAGGAGCUGCUCUCAGGUUGCCUGCCUGGAGCUGAGCGGGCGGACAGUGUUUAUAAACAGAAGCGGGGUGGUUAAGAUAAGAAAAGAUAAGAAUGGUAAUUAAAUUUAAGAACAAGGAAGUCAUUCGAGGUGGGUUUAAAGGCUUCGCCAGAUGUCCAGGUUUCAGUGUCAGAAUUCCAGUGUCGCUACUGGGCAUGCGAGAGAGAAAAGUCAAAUUUCAUUAACAUUGUUCAGUGAUGAGUCACUAUGUAUAUAGCAACUUCAGAGUUCAUCAUCUUUUUCCCCCUCUCCACAGUUAUAAAUGAGCUGAUCUUGUGCAGAAGGCUGAUCCAUAGCACAGUUGAUCAAUGGGACCAAGAAUUCCUGUUAACAUCUCACUGUUUUCAGUAGAGUAGAGACAGUAGAGUCUCACUUAUCCAACACUUGCUUAUCCAACUUUCUGGAUUAUCCAACACAUUUUUGUAGUCAAUGUUUUCAAUACAUCAUGAUAUUUUGGUGCUAAAUUCGUAAAUACAGUAAUUACUACAUAGCAUUACUGCGUAUUGAACUACCUUUUCUGUGAAAUUUGUUGUAUAACAUGAUGUUUUGGUGCUUUUAGGCACUACAUCCAGUGUGCCAAUCACCACUGGGACCACCUUGACUGGCUUGUGCCAGAGUCUUUGCAGUUCGAUCUUCAAAUCCUGCAGUUCGAUCUUCAAAUCCAAUUACUACAUAGCAUUACUGCGUAUUGAACUAUCUUUUCUGUGAAAUUUGUUGUAUAACAUGAUGUUUUGGUGCUUUUAGGCACUACAUCCAGUGUGCCGAUCACCACUGGGACCACCUUGACUGGCUUGUGCCAGAGUCUUUGCAGUUCGAUCUUCAAAUCCUGCAGUUCGAUCUUCAAAUCCAAUUACUACAUAGCAUUACUGCGUAUUGAACUAUCUUUUCUGUGAAAUUUGUUGUAUAACAUGAUGUUUUGGUGCUUUUAGGCACUACAUCCAGUGUGCCGAUCACCACUGGGACCACCUUGACUGGCUUGUGCCAGAGACUUUGCAGUUCGAUCUUCAAAUCCUGCAGUUCGAUCUUCAAAUCCAAUUACUACAUAGCAUUACUGCGUAUUGAACUACCUUUUCUGUCAAAUUUGUUGUAUAACAUGAUGUUUUGGUGCUUUUAGGCACUACAUCCAGUGUGCCAAUCACCACUGGGACCACCUUGACUGGCUUGUGCCAGAGUCUUUGCAGUUCGAUCUUCAAAUCCUGCAGUUCGAUCUUCAAAUCCAAUUACUACAUAGCAUUACUGCGUAUUGAACUAUCUUUUCUGUGAAAUUUGUUGUAUAACAUGAUGUUUUGGUGCUUUUAGGCACUACAUCCAGUGUGCCGAUCACCACUGGGACCACCUUGACUGGCUUGUGCCAGAGUCUUUGCAGUUCGAUCUUCAAAUCCUGCAGUUCGAUCUUCAAAUCCAAUUACUACAUAGCAUUACUGCGUAUUGAACUAUCUUUUCUGUGAAAUUUGUUGUAUAACAUGAUGUUUUGGUGCUUUUAGGCACUACAUCCAGUGUGCCGAUCACCACUGGGACCACCUUGACUGGCUUGUGCCAGAGACUUUGCAGUUCGAUCUUCAAAUCCUGCAGUUCGAUCUUCAAAUCCAAUUACUACAUAGCAUUACUGCGUAUUGAACUACCUUUUCUGUCAAAUUUGUUGUAUAACAUGAUGUUUUGGUGCUUUUAGGCACUACAUCCAGUGUGCCAAUCACCACUGGGACCACCUUGACUGGCUUGUGCCAGAGUCUUUGCAGUUCGAUCUUCAAAUCCUGCAGUUCGAUCUUCAAAUCCAAUUACUACAUAGCAUUACUGCGUAUUGAACUACCUUUUCUGUCAAAUUUGUUGUAUAACAUGAUGUUUUGGUGCUUUUAGGCACUACAUCCAGUGUGCUGAUCACCACUGGGACCACCUUGACUGGCUUGUGCCAGAGUCUUUGCAGUUCGAUCUUCAAAUCCUCGUAUCGUCAAUUGAAGCAAGCUGAGGACAAAGGAGGACAGAGAGAAACCGGGAUGUUAUAAAGACAGCUGAAAAAGUGGGAUGGCAGAGGAUUAAUCAAGACUGUCCAGGACAAAUGAGGAAUGCCAGCAUGGAUACCGAAUGCUCAGCCUCAAAUUCAAUAGCAGGAAAGUGCUUCAAGCACCAUUUUGAUUUUCCUUUCUAACAGCCUCUCCUGUUCCCUAAUGUCCUUUUCAGGACAAAGUGAAUGAUGAUACACUUCAUCUCUUAUUAAUGGGCUUCUGCUUAGUGGAAAAUGCCAUGAUGUCCGCAUUGUCCUAUAUAGGCUUCUUCCUCUGUGGCUUCGGGGGGUCGAGUAUCCAAUGUCUGGCCUUCCUUUACAAUGGCUUGAAACGCUACUCCUGUAAAAGGGGAAAAGGCUGGAUGGGAAUCUGGAGUGGCAGAUGGCAGAGAGGGGAGCAAACUGCCCCAGGGCCCGGGAAACAUAAGAUACCCUGUGAGCGAGAAGAAAGGAAAGGGCCGUGGAAGAUCUCUUUCUAAAGCCACACAAUGCGGCUUGACUUUCCCUUGAGAGCUACACUCAGGUUGUGCAGAGAAGACAGGCUCCCAUUUGAUUUUGUUAAGGUUACAGUAAAAACUGUUUGGAGGAAGAAAACAAAAUGUUAGAGAUGGGUUGAAAUGGCUGGAACCCCCAAAAUAAAGUAACAAUAGAGAUGUUACAAUAGAAAUGGCCCCAAAGAGAAAGCCGUGCUCCGCAUCGUAAUAUUUUGACUGCAAAAUUUGCAAAAUUUGGUAGGAUGUCAGUGGCAGAGGUCCAUGAACUUGUUUUGAGAUGUAGUCCAUACUUUGAAGGAGGUUCCAAGGUAUCGAGAUAGGAUUGAUAGGCCUUUUAGAGGCAUAAAUAUGGGGUGGAUUAACUCCCCAUUUGAAGUGACAGCUACGUUCUGACAAUGAGAGAUGCAGCAUCAAUGGAGAAAAAAAAUAUUAAAAUAUUCCUUUGUUUUGUAGCUUUCCUCCAUCACAGAACCAUGGAGCUUGAAUGGGACUUGUAGACCAUCAAGUCCAAGUUCUGCUCAGUGAAGGAUCUUCAGUUGGAGCACUGUCUCCAAACUCUGAUCAAUGGAGAAAAAAAUAUUAAAAUAUUCCUUUGUUUUGUAGCUUUCCUCCAUCACAGAACCAUGGAGUUCGAAUGGGACCAGUAGACCAUCAAGUCCAAGUCCUGCUCAGUGAAGGAUAUUCAAUUGGAGCACUGUCUCCAAACUCUGAUCAAUGGAGAAAAAAACAUUAAAAUAUUCUGUUGCCUUGUUUUGCAGCUUUCCUCCAUCACAGAACCAUGGAGCUUGAAUGGGACCUGUAGACCAUCAAGACCAAGUCCUGCUCAGUGAAGGAUCUUCCAUUGGAGCACUGUUUCCAAACUCUGGUCUUCCAGAUUUUGGACCUCAGUUCCCAGAAUCCCAAAACACAUGAAAAACUAGAGUUUGGGGAUCCCUGAACAAGAACAUCCCCAGCCUCUUUGAGAAGAUCUCCAGAGAAGAAGACCUCAACACCUCCCGCGACCUUUGCUUCCAUUGCUGAACUGCUCUCACUGUCAAGAAGAACAUGUCCAUCUCCGUCAACUUUUCCUGAUAUGUUUUGUUCUCCAUAUCUUUCCUUGUCGUUUUUCUCUCAACCCACUCCAACUUCUCCAUACCCUUCUUGACACCAUGUCCGUUUUCCAAGGAAAGUGUGUUCGCCACCCAACCCAACACACUUCUGCUCUUGCUGCUAAGCUUCAGCGCACCACGGAGGGCUCUGGACAUCCAGGAUGGACCAAGCCGUCCCUCGCCCGGGUUUCCGAGGUCACUGGGACCGUUUCCUUUCCGCCAGCCCAUCCUUAGGAGACAACGGCCAAGGCUUUCAAUAACAUUUCCUUGGAAAAAUAAUCCAUCCCUACUCCUGUGUUUGGAAAACCAGGCCAGAGCACAGAACAGGAAGAAGUUAAUUACUGUCCAGGGGAGGCAAGAAAGGGGGGGAGCGGGGUGUGUGUUUUCCCGAAUUGUUUGAGAUGUUUAAUUUCCUUGAAAGAGGAAAAGAGUUCUGAUCUCUGCUGGAUUCCCUCCCUGUUUAUACAGAGGGUUUCUAUUAGCAAAGUCAACAUCCAAAGAUCCCGAUGGCCAGAACUGGACUCUUCUUUUUCUGACCAAACAGGAUCCUUCCUCAAGGGAGGGGUGUGAUGAUGUGCCAUCCCUCCGGUUGUACAUCUACUUCCAUGAAAGUCAUGGCUUGGAUUUGAGAAAGUGGCUUUGCAGACCUGGAAAGGCAGAGGCAUCUUUUGCAUCGUGCUUGCAUUUGGAUUUCUGAAGGUGUUCCUCACCAAGACUAGGUGAUGAAAAUGAACAUUGGGUUGUACUGGAACACCACAAAAAUUCUGGCUGCGUUUGGAGAUGUACCUAUAUCACAUAAUUAUAGCCCGCGUCGGAUACCGGAUCAAAAAGUGGGAUAUAUCCGAUUUUAAUCCGAUUUAAGAUUCUUUACGAUUUUUUUGACCAUGCCUAAUAAUUACAUACCCAUAGCCAUGGCUCCUCAUACUAAAGUCCCCCCAAGCUCAACUUGUCAGCUUGAAAGACCCUCAUAACCUCCUCCACAUUGUUGGAGUAAGGAGAAAUUUUGCGCACUCUCUGGGCGCAUAACCUUUUGGGAAAAAUAGCAAUCAUAAUCUUAUUGAAAAGGAAAAAUGGUGUCAUAUCAGUUUGGCAAAUACUCAGGCUCAGGUAGUGGUGGGAGCACUGGACUGAUUCUCCAAAUGACAAGAGUUCAGAUACUUCAUCGGCCAUCAAAACCUACGGGAUGACCUUAGGCAAGUCACACUUUCUCGGCCUCCGAGGAUGGUGAUGUAGGGACCAUAAGCCAGAAAAUAGUAAACUAUUGCCUAUGUAGGCUUGUUGUAUGUUUCUGGAACAUGGCCACACAGCCCGAAAGACAUAUAACAACCCUGUGAUCCUGGCCAUGAAAGCCUUCGACAACAUAUUGCCUAUGUAGCUUUGCCCGUGCAUAUGUCCCUCCCUUCCUGUGUGCUGGUGCUUUUCUCCAGAAUGUUCCAAGACCAAAAGUUAGCUUGAAAUCAACAAGUGAGGUCACAGGUAUCACUUAUGCUAAAGUGAUACAACAACCCUGUGAUCCCGGCCAUGAAAGCCUUCGACAACAUAUUGCCUAUGUAGCUUUGCCUGUGCAUAUGCCCCUCCCUUCCUGUGAGCUGGUGCCUUUCUCCAGAAUGUUUCAAGACCAAAAUUUAGCUUGAAAUCAACAAGUGAGGCCACAGGCAUCACUUAUGCCAAAGUGAUACAACAACCCUGUGAUCCCGGCCAUGAAAGCCUUUGACAACAUAUUGCCUAUGUAGCUUUGCCUGUGCAUAUGCCCCUCCCUUCCUGUGAGCUGGUGCCUUUCACCAGAAUGUUUCAAGACCAAAAGUUAGCUUGAAAUCAACAAGUGAGGUCCCAGGUAUCACUUAUGCCAAAAUGGGUGUGGAAGGUGAGGAAGAUCCUCAGCCAUUGGUCAAUUGUAGAUAAGCUGAGAUAUAAAUUCUUUGUUUGCUAUGCAUAUGUUGUGACGGCCAUUUGCAUGGUACGGACCCACUGAUUUGGGAACCUACGGCUGUUUUGCUUUAUCUACAGCUGUGAUAAUAAUAAAAGGCUUGUUUUAUUGCU